UUCGUCACGGCGUUUUUUUAAAAAACGUCGUUUUAAAGGUUUUUAAAAUAUUUUUUUGUAAAUAACUCAUUUUAGAAAACAAACGUGCUUUGGUGUACGAACAUAUUUGCCCUUUUUAAGACCCACGCGUUUUUGACUCUUCUAUUUCUCUCAGUCCUGCGAUAGAUCUAGGUCUUCUAUCUCUUCAUCGCUCCUCUUUCUUAUGAUGAAAGGUCACUAGAUCGAGCAUCGUAGUCUACGAUUCACAAUCUGGUUCUCUUCAUCUUGGCUCAAAGCUCUCGAUCAAUCCGAUUUGAAGAUUAAUUUUGAGUUCAAUAAGUAUGACAGAGAACCAGCUAAAUACAUCAAGCAAUAUCAAGGAAUCAAACCAAGGAUAGGGGCACCAUACUCUUGUAUUUUAGGAAUCAGAGUUGCUUUGAGUUUCAUUCUGGCUUAUGUAGAUGCUGGACUAUUGAUUUUCCUAAUUUUUUGUUUUUCUCUCUCUUUCGAUCUAUAUGUUAGCUGUCCCUGAAAUCUGAACUUGAGCAUAAUGCAAUAUCUCCAUCCAAACCGCCUCUGCACACUAAGGGAUCUAAAGAGAAUAUUCCGGGUUCCUUAAAACAAGUAGUUCAGAGGUAUGGGAGGAAGCUGAGCCAUUGUGGGAGCGAGUGGAUGAUCCCUGAAAUUGGACCCCGGCCGAACAUCUACAGGUCCACAGGUGUAGUAAGCUUGCUAAUCGACAUGUAAGGGUCGGGCUUGCUGACCCCAAUGCUGUGCCUCGCUGUGACAUAUGUGAAAAUGCACCUGCUUUCUUUUACUGUGAGGUGGAUGGAAGCUCCCUUUGUUUGCAAUGCGAUAUGAUCGUUCAUGUAGGAGGUAAAAAAUCCAUGGAAGAUAUCUUGUAUUGAGGCAGAGAAUUGAGGUUUGUUUC